CUUGGCAAAACAUGAUCCCCCUGGAGUUAUGCCACACAGCGUGUCUGCCAUCACACCAGGGAUGCUGAGGCUGCACUAUCAUCUCUGAGGGAAACCAGCUGCCAUGUUGUGAAGACACUCAAGCAAGCCAUGUGUGUGAACUACCAUGUUGAAAAUGGACCCUCCAAAUCCAAUCAAGCCUUCAAGAGAUUAUUGAUGUCAUGGCCAACAUCCUGACUACAACCUCAUGAAAAAACCUCAGCAAAUGCUUCCUAACCAAGCUUCUUCUGAACUCCAGACCUAUAGAAAAUGUGUGAGAUAAUUGUUCUUCAGCCCAGUCAAGACCCUAAGAAGAUGGGGGUGGAAUUCUGCCUCCUCUACACAAAUUCUUGCCACGACUUAGUGACACCUUUAAUGAACCGAGCACUGGGUUAAAGUUUUCUCUAAUUCUUAAAUAACUCUGCUAGGUAAGUUGCCAUUAUUAUGAUCAAACCAUACUGAAUGUUUGAGUACCUUGACUAAGAAAUAAAACUGGGUUUUUGACAAAGGUCUAUUUAAUACCAAUGGCCAAGUUCUUUCCACCAUGACUCCACGGUUCCUAGUUUCAUAUACUUACAUUAAUCUCAGAUAAGACAAGAGUAACCGUUUAUAACACUCUUCAUUCAAAGAAAAUUCUUAGUUAUCACAAAUUAAAUUUUAAUUGUUUGAAAAUUAAUAAUUCCUUCUUAUGAAUAGUUUAUAUCUCAACCACAUUGAGGAAGUACUUUAUUUGACACCUUCCUUCCAUAUUUCCCCUCCAGGCAGAAUAAACUCUUUCACAGUGUAGCCCUUAGUAAUUAAAAAUGGCUUUCUCUUCCUAAUGGAUUAUAAAAUAUUGAGGCAGUAAUUUGAGCUUAGUCAUUGUUUGUACACAUUUUUCUAUUACAAAGUGAUACAAUCAUACCAAUUUUGAAAUAGAUCAAAAAAAUUAAAAUCCUAACCUAUUUACUCACUUAUUUUCCCAAAACUUAUUAUAUAUGAUAUUAACGAAUAUUACAUAGGAUGCAUGAGAUCUAAGUACAAAUUAACUUGGAAAAAUAUGGGUUAAAUGAAUUUUAGCAGAAUUAUUUCCUGUAGAAUCUUUACUGUUUUGGUUUGUAUUGUAACUUCAAAAUUGAAGAUUAUGUGCAGUUUUUCUAAUCUAUUUGACCACUGAACUCUUUUAUCAUAAAGCUUCUGGAUUAGUGUUCCAUGAAACUUUAGGAAUGAGUUCAAUAUUCUAUUAUAUAUUGGGGCUCUUCUCACUUUUGUAAAUAAGUCCAGGAUAAAUAUCCUUAGGCAUUUACAUUGUGUUUCAUAUGUUUUGGGAAAUUCUAGGGUAAAUACCCAAAGCCUCAAAGAUAUUGUUUCAAAGAUUAUUAGCAACUUAAGUUUUUCAUCUAUAUUUUUAAAUGGCUUUCAAAAUGAUUAUAACCGCUUUUAGAAUACAAUCAAGUCAUGGGAAUGUCAGUUUUAUUGAACUAUUAUCAGCAUUAGGUAGUGCAUUUUUUCCUUAAUUUUGCUAGUGAAACAAGUGGAAAAUGAUAACUCAUAGCUAUGACAAUUUUUAUUUUUGAUUAGGAGGUAGAACACUUCUCUGUAUGUUUUAUUAGAAUUUCCUCUUUAUGCAACUUAUACUACCGAACUUUACACAUGCAUGAAUGGU
rnacentral:lncRNA from 1 species